rnacentral:lncRNA from 1 species
AGAUGUCAAAUUUGGGGUCCCCAUCAAAUCAGAGUCUGCAAGAUAUAUUUUGUAUGUCCAAUACUUUUUGCUUGAUGCUCUGAUCGAACCUUUAAUUAAUUAAUUAAUUUAUUUAUUCUGAGCUCAGUGCUGCUUUUACUUGCUUGCUCAAGUAAAUAUUUAUCACUUUGCUAUUGGUCACUUAUUUUUACUUUUAAUUUGGGCUGUUUUUGUGAAUUUCAUUCGAUUCUGAGUUUUUUCAAUGAGAAGUUGUUUUUCGUUAAGUUAUUGGCUGAUUUUUGGGCCAAAACAUUGUUUUUGCUUUAGACAGUUGUUGCUAUCCCUCUACCUGAUCUGGGAUGCAGUGGGAAGAAUUAUAUUGGUUUGAACCCAUCCUGCUCCUUUCUGGCAUUUUUUAUAUUUAUGACACUGACCAAAUUUUGGGUGGAUUCAAAGGAAAUUCUGUGAAUUUAGAAGUUCUUUAGAGUGCCUUGUUAUCACAUUAGGGGAGCGAUACCCAUGCCAGUUAACGGUAUGGAACUUUCUCACCAUUCGAUGAGGAUUUUAGGUCCCCGUCAUUAUUCUUCCGAAGGUGAUGUCUUUCUUCCUUUUUCUUCUGUACAGUGUUUAGAUAGUAUUUGUUUUCUUGCUUUGCUGAGAAACCUUCUUUUUGAUUCAGAGCCGCCUCCUCCUGGUGUAACACUUGAAAUUAAUGGGUAUGAGACACGUCUCAAUGUUACCAAUUAUGAUUACAGUCGAAGGGUUUUUGGGGCAACAUUGGAUAGUAUUAGUCGCUCUAGAUCUGGCCGCUAUAAUAGUAGUAAUAGACAUUACUGAUGCUUAUCUUGUAUCAUAGAAAAUUGUUUGUUGUUUUAAUUGUAAAAGUAGCAUAUCUGUCAUUGUUCUGGACUGUGAAACCUGAUAAGAGGCGGUUAUUUAUUGUUAACACUUGUCCUGUAAUUAAUUGAAAUGUCUUUUUGAUUGCUGAUAUAGUUAAAUUAAUUUUAUCAUGCUGCUGCAGUAUUGGUUUGUAGACUUUUUGUUGUCAUUAUUAUUAUUAUUUGGGAAUGAACAGGAAAACUGAUGAUUUAUGUAUUUGUGUUUAUUAUAUAUAUGUUUAUUUGUGUGCUUUCAUACAUGAAUAACCCCAAUCUUAAUUUGUAAACUUCUCCUGACUUCUUCUUUAUAAAUAGUAAUAUAUCUAUAGAAGUUUCUUCAUUGCUAAAGUAGUUGAUAUCUGGUCGAGAUUGAGAUUGAGAUCUGACUUACUCGAUAAUGUGGAAGAUUAUAGUUCUCAGUAGUUAAGUAUAAAACAUAUAGUAAACAUGCAAAUAUUCAAGUAAACUGAAAAGGGUUAGUCAGGUAUCUUGAUUGGUUUAGUUCAUAAUUUCCUGAUUUACUCCCAGGGACUGUUGGAGAGGGACUUCCUUUGAUUUGUAGAUGUCAAAUUUGGGGUCCCCAUCAAAUCAGAGUCUGCAAGAUAUAUUUUGUAUGUCCAAUACUUUUUGCUUGAUGCUCUGAUCGAACCUUUAAUUAAUUAAUUAAUUUAUUUAUUCUGAGCUCAGUGCUGCUUUUACUUGCUUGCUCAAGUAAAUAUUUAUCACUUUGCUAUUGGUCACUUAUUUUUACUUUUAAUUUGGGCUGUUUUUGUGAAUUUCAUUCGAUUCUGAGUUUUUUCAAUGAGAAGUUGUUUUUCGUUAAGUUAUUGGCUGAUUUUUGGGCCAAAACAUUGUUUUUGCUUUAGACAGUUGUUGCUAUCCCUCUACCUGAUCUGGGAUGCAGUGGGAAGAAUUAUAUUGGUUUGAACCCAUCCUGCUCCUUUCUGGCAUUUUUUAUAUUUAUGACACUGACCAAAUUUU